rnacentral:rRNA from 1 species
UAGGGAAUCUUCCACAAUGGACGCAAGUCUGAUGGAGCAACGCCCCGUGAGUGAAGAAGGUCUUCGGAUCGUAAAACUCUGUUGUUAGAGAAGAACACGAGUGAGAGUAACUGUUCAUUCGAUGACGGUAUCUAACCAGCAAGUCACGGCUAACUACGUGCCAG